AUUUGCUAUGAAUUUAAAUAUGGUAAUAGAUUGGGGCCUCUGCAUAAUAAAUGUCAUUCUUUUUUUUUGUACAAAAGGCAGAGCUAUAUUCAUUUUUAAAAAUUGAGUUACAUGGCACUCUUUAAUUCUCCCAUGAAUAUAGUAGUUAGACUGAAUGGAACUGCCAUAUUUAAGAAUAGAGAUACUCAUUUAUUUUUCUAUAGAAGGAAUAAGGCUAAAGAUUAGGUGAAUAUGCAAGUGGAUAGGAUCUUUAUGAAAAGUGACAUUGUGCCUGCUCUAAAGGAAUUUGUAGUCUAUAGAAGUUGGGGUAGAUACAAUAAGUAAACAAUUAAACGUGUUAAAGGUAGAAUGUGAUAGGGACAAAGAGAGAUUCUGAGCUCUAAGGAAAUUCUGUGGAGUUCAGCAAUCUAGAAUAGAGUAAAACAUUUUAGUGAUGUCAACUACUUCAGUUUCCACUGUUGAGGAAUUUGUGAUCAUUUAGAUACCUAUUGGACUAAAUUUUGUCUUUGAACUAUUGAUUGAUUUCUUAAGUAAAUUAAUAAUAUAAAUUGAGGGAGGGAUGAAGAAAAUAAAUGAUAUUGUUAAACAAUCUAAGUUCUACUUUCAAGAACCUCCAAAUACUUUGAGAAUUUAGUGAUUAAGGAACAAACUAUGUUUCAUUUAAAUCAGCUUUUUCCACAACCUCAAAACAAAUGGCAAAAGUUAUAUAUACUGAUCAGAAGACAUUGUCAUCAGAUUAAAUAUGAGUCAAUCCUUUGAAGGCCAAAAUCAUUUUCCAGGAGACUUUGGUUUAAAUCUCUGGCAGGAGCCGACUCACAUGAGCUGUCAAGCUGAUUGUGAAAUUUUCAUUGGGAGCAUUUAUACUUCAGAAACAGAGGUGAUCCUAGAACCCAAUGAGAGAGAUGUAAGGAGUUGUCUUCCACCGAUCUGGUCUACUAUUGCACAUGUAAGUUAGGAAAAUAUGUCCACAGUCUUUUUAUAAUAAAAACAUAUAUACAUAUUAUUAUAAAGAAACA
rnacentral:lncRNA from 1 species